UACAGAGGUCUCAAGCGUUGUUCGGAUUUACUGGGCGUAAAGGAUGCGUAGGAGGUUACCCAAGUCGGAUGUGAAAUCCCGGAGCUCAACUCCGGAACUGCAUUCGAUACUAGGUAGCUAGAGGGCUGGAGAGGUUACUGGAAUUCUCGGUGUAGCGGUGAAAUGCGUAGAUAUCGAGAGGAACACCAAUGGCGAAAGCAAGUAACUGGAAAGUUCCUGACUCUGAGGCAUGAAAGCCAGGGGAGCAAACGGG
rnacentral:rRNA from 1 species